rnacentral:tRNA from 1 species
UGAGCGAUCGUUCAAUUAGUAGGACCUUCGGCUUUGAACCGAAUAAUGAAGGUGCAAUUCCUUCUCGCCCAA